rnacentral:piRNA from 1 species
UGAUUGGAUUGGAUGUUAUCUUGGCAAC